AGGCCCCCACUCGCCCGAGACUUUAAGUAAUCGCCUUUUGGCGCGCGCUCAGUCUCUUUGGGGUCAUCUGCUUUCGUACUGAUGCAGAACAAAGGGACCUGGCUGCGGAAGCCAUGUCCACGGCUGAUUCUCCGUGAGUUGUCUCUGAAGGGAGGGCGUGAGUAGUCCGAGGGACCUCUCGUUGCCAUCGGCCUCUGGAACAUGGGUUGAACUGGCGAAGAUGUAAUUUCCCCCAUUAUUGGCGGGCACACGUAUGCCACCCACAGCAGCAAGGCACUCGAUUGCUGGCUUUCAGAUCUAUGAAGCCGAAGGCACGUGUAGGGAGUAUAAGAAACAGAUUCUACUUAAACACAGGAAAGGGUCCUAACUUGCUUUGUGGUACAAUGUUGAAGCUGUUCCAGACCCUGGAAAUGAAGGAUUAUGCGGACCGUGAUCAAAUCAGGUGGCAAGCACUUGGAAGUUUCUUUUUUCCAUCCUCGGAUCCCUGUUUAUAUACAUAUUUUCUUAAAAUUAAUAAAAAGGUUUUUUUUGUAAUAAGA